rnacentral:rRNA from 1 species
CCCUUAGAUGUCCUGGGCCGCACGCGCGCUACACUGAGUGUCUGAGAUACGAGUCUGCCUGGUCCGGCAAGGUCUAGGUAAUCGCUAAAAGACACAUCAUGCUUGGGAUAGAUUAUUGCAAAUAUUAAUCUUGAACGAGGAAUUCCUAGUAAGCGCAAGUCAACAGCUUGCGUUGAUUACGUCCCUGCCCUUUGUACACACCGCCCGUCGCUCCUACCGAUUGAAUGAUCCGAUGAAUACCAUGGAUUGAGAGUACGAAUGGGUUCGCUCAUUUCUGCUGCUCGAGAAGUGGAGUAAAUCUUAUCAUUUAGAGGAAGGAGAAGUCGUAACA